GGGCGAUUAGCUCAGUUGGUUAGAGUGCUGCUUUCACACGGCAGAGGUCACAGAUUCGAGUUCUGUAUCGCCCA
rnacentral:tRNA from 1 species